CAAAAGCCUUGGUCAAGAAUGCUUGUAGGAGAAUUUGAACUUGAAUUAGAUUUUUGAAUUUGUUUUGCAUGAGAAUUGGAUUUUCCCAGAAAAGGAUGCUUCAGAAGCUGAUUGGCUCCACCUCUGUUUUGGAUCCCUUCUUAAACACUUAUCCAAGAAAUCCCUUGCUUGCUCUGAUAGACUACAGGGGAACUCCGGCAACUGUUCGGAAAAUCCAAUCCGGUACAUAACAGAAAUUGGGUCAUUGACGUUAGGCCACGGUGCACCACCACUAGCCAUUUCAAUAAUUGU
rnacentral:misc_RNA from 1 species